rnacentral:rRNA from 1 species
UGUGUUGUUGGGUAGGGGAGCGUUCUGUAAGCCUGCGAAGGUGGCCUGUGAGGGUUGCUGGAGGUAUCAGAAGUGCGAAUGCUGACAUAAGUAACGAUAAAGCGGGUGAAAAGCCCGCUCGCCGGAAGACCAAGGGUUCCUGUCCAACGUUAAUCGGGGCAGGGUGAGUCGACCCCUAAGGCGAGGCCGAAAGGCGUAGUCGAUGGGAAACGGGUUAAUAUUCCCGUACUUGGUGUUACUGCGAAGGGGGGACGGAGAAGGCUAUGUUGGCCGGGCGACGGUUGUCCCGGUUUAAGCGUGUAGGCUGGUUUUCCAGGCAAAUCCGGAAAAUCAAGGCUGAGGCGUGACGACGAGGCACUACGGUGCUGAAGCAACAAAUGCCCUGCUUCCAGGAAAAGCCUCUAAGCAUCAGGUAACAUCAAAUCGUACCCCAAACCGACACAGGUGGUCAGGUAGAGAAUACCAAGGCGCUUGAGAGAACUCGGGUGAAGGAACUAGGCAAAAUGGUGCCGUAACUUCGGGAGAAGGCACGCUGACAUGUAGGUGAAGUGAUUUACUCAUGGAGCUGAAGUCAGUCGAAGAUACCAGCUGGCUGCAACUGUUUAUUAAAAACACAGCACUGUGCAAACACGAAAGUGGACGUAUACGGUGUGACGCCUGCCCGGUGCCGGAAGGUUAAUUGAUGGGGUCAGCGCAAGCGAAGCUCCUGAUCGAAGCCCCGGUAAACGGCGGCCGUAACUAUAACGGUCCUAAGGUAGCGAAAUUCCUUGUCGGGUAAGUUCCGACCUGCACGAAUGGCGUAAUGAUGGCCAGGCUGUCUCCACCCGAGACUCAGUGAAAUUGAACUCGCUGUGAAGAUGCAGUGUACCCGCGGCAAGACGGAAAGACCCCGUGAACCUUUACUAUAGCUUGACACUGAACAUUGAGCCUUGAUGUGUAGGAUAGGUGGGAGGCUUUGAAGCGUGGACGCCAGUCUGCGUGGAGCCGACCUUGAAAUACCACCCUUUAAUGUUUGAUGUUCUAACGUGGACCCGUGAUCCGGGUUGCGGACAGUGUCUGGUGGGUAGUUUGACUGGGGCGGUCUCCUCCUAAAGAGUAACGGAGGAGCACGAAGGUUGGCUAAUCCUGGUCGGACAUCAGGAGGUUAGUGCAAUGGCAUAAGCCAGCUUGACUGCGAGCGUGACGGCGCGAGCAGGUGCGAAAGCAGGUCAUAGUGAUCCGGUGGUUCUGAAUGGAAGGGCCAUCGCUCAACGGAUAAAAGGUACUCCGGGGAUAACAGGCUGAUACCGCCCAAGAGUUCAUAUCGACGGCGGUGUUUGGCACCUCGAUGUCGGCUCAUCACAUCCUGGGGCUGAAGUAGGUCCCAAGGGUAUGGCUGUUCGCCAUUUAAAGUGGUACGCGAGCUGGGUUUAGAACGUCGUGAGACAGUUCGGUCCCUAUCUGCCGUGGGCGCUGGAGAACUGAGGGGGGCUGCUCCUAGUACGAGAGGACCGGAGUGGACGCAUCACUGGUGUUCGGGUUGUCAUGCCAAUGGCACUGCCCGGUAGCUAAAUGCGGAAGAGAUAAGUGCUGAAAGCAUCUAAGCACGAAACUUGCCCCGA